rnacentral:SRP_RNA from 1 species
AUGCAGACCAGGCUGGCGUGCUAGCCCUACGCCACAUGCAAAUGGGCUUUAUGGCAAGCUCGAGAGGAGGCGUGACUUGCAACUUGUAAAGCCUUUUUGGCUGCGUCGAAGUCCUGUCCUGCUCGGUCUUGCUAUAGCGAAACAGUCGAGGCCCGGAAGGGUGCAGACUUAAGUUAUGGUUAAGGCGCUUGCAGGGUUGCAGGAUGGAGCAGACAGAAAGCCAACUUUGCAAGAAGCAAUAAGCAACUCCUCGGGUCUGCGC